CACCGCGGUUAUACGAGAGGCUCAAGUUGACAGACAACGGCGUAAAGAGUGGUUAAGGCAAUUAUAAAACUAAAGCGGAACACCCUCAUAGCUGUUAUACGCUUCCGAGGGUAUGAACUCCAACUACGAAAGUGGCUUUAUAUAACCUGAACCCACGAAAGCUAAGAAA
rnacentral:rRNA from 1 species